UCACCUGGAGAUCAUGUUAAAAUGCAAAUUCUGAUUCUACAGAUGUGAGACUCUGCAUUUCUAACAAGCUCCCCAGUGAUCCCA
rnacentral:miRNA from 1 species